CUUUAGUAAUUGCGAAUGAACAAGGAUAUGCUUAGCUUGACAAAUGGAGCUAUUGGCUUUGAAUUGUAUUGUGGAAAUGUAUUACCAACAGAGGUGCAGGUGCCAGCCUAUUGAAAUAAAGCGUCAAUGAGGGUGAGAAUCCUGUUUGUCAUGUGCAGCCCUUUGUGCACGGUGUAUAUUUGCUGAGUCACACUCCUUGGCAUUGGAAUGCAAAGUGGGUGGUAAGUUUCAUGUAAAGGUAAACAUGCAAUUGAGACUGAUAGCACACAAGUACCAUGAGGGAAAUAUGAAAAGGACUUUGAAAAGAGAAUUAAAUGAGUUUGUAUUUGCUGAACACAAAGUAAACAGACUUGAUUUGCUUGGUGGGAGUGUUGCACUUGCUUGACAAGAGCUUUGGGCUGUGGGUGUAAUGAUUCUUUCUUUGCAUGCCAGUUUCUAUUUGUACAUCUGAUUACCUUUGCACAUGAAUGAUAAGUCUCCUGUGGGGGGUGGAUUGCAUGUGCAUGUAAUGAUUUGUGUUUUGAUAAAUGUGUCUGGUGUAUGUGUGUGUUCCUGUGCUUGGGGAUGCUUCCUUCCUUGGACUUACAAGCCCUGACACACACAUGCUGGCAAAAUGCUUCUGCUUGACCCGUCUUGAAACACGGACCAAGGAGUCUAACAGAUGUGCAAAGUUUGAAGGUGGUAUACCUUUGUGUGCAAUGAAAGUGUCAGCUGGGAUAUGUGCACCAGCACCCAAUUAAUUAGCGGACAGAGGUUUGAGUUGGAGCAUAUCUAUUAGGACCCGAAAGAUGGUGAACUAUGCCUGAACAGAAUGAAUUCAGAGGAAACUCUGAUGGAGGUUCGUAUCGAUACUGACGUGCAAAUCGUUCGUCAUAUUUGGGUAUAGGGGCGAAAGACUAAUCGAACCAUCUAGUAGCUGGUUCCCUCCGAAGUUUCCCUCAGGAUAGCUGGAGUUGCUCAGUUUUAUCAGGUAAAGCGAAUGAUUAGAGGAAUUGGGGACAGGUUUGUCUUUGACCUAUUCUCAAACUUUAAAUGGGUAAUAUGUAGUGGUGCUGUAUGGAACUUCUAAGAUAAAUGGCAAUAUUGGGUGGGCCAUUUUUGGUAAGCAGAACUGGCGAUGAGGGA
rnacentral:rRNA from 1 species